GGAGAAAAUAAGAAUUUUUAAAUUUUUUUUAGUUCUACAUGACAUUUUUUAACUGUCAAUGUCAUAAUACUGUUUGCUUUUACUGCAAUAAAAUACACAUAUUUGUAUUCAGCAAAGUCUCACGUGUAAAACAGUACCCCCUAUGUACAGGUUUUAUGGUAUUUUGGGAAGUUACAGGGUCAAAUAUAAAUUGAAAUUCGCCAGAUUGGUUACGUUGCCUUUGAGACCGUUUAGUAGCCCAGGAAUGAAAUUUGUAUGUUCAGUCUUUUUUAGUAGCCAUUUGGUCACAAACACUGGCCAAAGUUAGCGUUAAUAUUUGUUUGUGUGUGAAAAAUGCAAAAAAUGCCUAUAUAUCUUAUAU